rnacentral:rRNA from 1 species
UACAGAGGUCCCAAGCGUUGUUCGGAUUCACUGGGCGUAAAGGGUGUGUAGGAGGUUUGGUAAGUCGGGUGUGAAAGCCCACCGCUUAACGGUGGAAUGGCAUUCGAUACUACCAGACUAGAGGAUUAGAGGGGCAAGCGGAAUUCAUGGUGUAGCAGUGAAAUGCGUAGAUAUCAUGAGGAACACCAGUGGCGAAAGCGGCUUGCUGGAUAAUUCCUGACUCUGAAACACGAAAGCCAGGGGAGCAAACGGG